GGGGAAUAUUGGACAAUGGGCGCAAGCCUGAUCCAGCCAUGCCGCGUGGGUGAAGAAGGCCUUCGGGUUGUAAAGCCCUUUUGUUGGGAAAGAAAAGCUUCCGGUUAAUACCCGGGAGUCAUGACGGUACCCAAAGAAUAAGCACCGGCUAACUUCGUGCCAGCAGCCGCGGUAAUACGAAGGGUGCAAGCGUUACUCGGAAUUACUGGGCGUAAAGCGUGCGUAGGUGGUUCGUUAAGGCUGAUGUGAAAGCCCUGGGCUCAACCUGGGAAUUGCAUUGGAUACUGGCGGGCUAGAGUGCGGUAGAGGAUGGCGGAAUUCCCGGUGUAGCAGUGAAAUGCGUAGAGAUCGGGAGGAACAUCUGUGGCGAAGGCGGCCAUCUGGACCAGCACUGACACUGAGGCACGAAAGCGUGGGGAGCAAA
rnacentral:rRNA from 1 species